rnacentral:pre_miRNA from 1 species
GGAGGGUGGCCGGAUCUUGGGUUGUGUCCCUGGCGCCCUGUGCUCCCAGGCCUGUGCUGUUAGAUUCGCGCCCCUGGCCCCUGGCCCCUUC